CCCUACGGGGCGCAGCAGGCGCGAAAACUUUACAAUGCGGGAAACCGUGAUAAGGGAACUCCGAGUGUCCGUAAAUGCGGACUGUCCGUAUGUUUAAAAAGCAUGCGAAGAAAGGGCCGGGCAAGACCGGUGCCAGCCGCCGCGGUAAUACCGGCGGCUCGAGUGGUGGCCACUAUUACUGGGCUUAAAGCGUUCGUAGCUGGGUCGUUAAGUCUCUUGGGAAAUCUACCGGCUUAACCGAUAGGCGUCCAAGGGAUACUG
rnacentral:rRNA from 1 species